CCUUGAGGUUCCACUUCCAGUCUUGAUGUUCUGCCCCUUACCUCUAAGCGAUGGCCUCUUGUGCCUGGCAAUAUAUGAGCGAAGCACAAUGGACUGGUGCCUGUACAUGUAAUGUAUUUCAUGCAAAUGAAGGGUAGAAUGAGAAGCUCACAAUGAUAUGGUAGACAAGGACCUUGCUGUCUAAAGCUCGGAGGCCAGAUGACAGUGUCUGAAUUUAUAUUUUAUUCAUGAACAGCCGGCUUGUCGGAAUUGCGUACAAGGAUGCCAUUGGACUUUUCUGUACUAGUAGCUGAAGGGGGAGCAGUCACCAGAAGGAGCAUGCAACUCCAAAACAAUGUGGAUACUUCUACCGAGUUCAUCUCAAGAAUCAAGAUGUGACAGUGGAUGUACAUGUAGAGGGGUUUGUGACCCUCCUGACUGUGGACUACAUGCAAUACACAUCAAUGGAUUGUAGAGGAGUAAUGGUGGGUCCGGUGAGCUCAACUCUGGAGGUUAAGUUCGCAAAAUUAUUAAAUUUCCUUUUAAUAUGGGUGUAUAUGGUUCCAGGGAUUAAUUUGACGCAAUGCCUCGUAGUGACACGCCCUAUUAAGGGGCAACACACGUGUCAGAAGGUAUAAAAUGGGAAGCAGUUCCUGAAUUGGCACGAGCUUUUACUUUUCGGAUGACUUCCUCAUUUUGUUUCAUACCUCAUUUCCUUUGCCGCCAUGAGGUGCUAAAGUUUUAGCAGAGUUGGGGGCUUCCAGCCCAUAGAUGUGACUUUUCAUGAUUAUAUGUAAUAAAUUGUAAUAAAGUUACUAUCCACUUCAACA